rnacentral:tRNA from 1 species
GCGCAGGUGGCGGAAUUGGUAGACGCCCUGGAUUUAGGUUCCAGUGGGGCAACCCGUGGGGGUUCGAGUCCCCCCCUGCGCACCA